UAAACACAGGAACUAGAAAACCGGCCUUUCUCACAGGAUGGUGGUGACAGAACCAUAGAACUCUCUGAAGGAGAAGAGGCUCUCAAUAGUCGUCUUCAAGCGUUAUUCUUCUCGACGCUGUUUCCAAGCAUCGGUUGUGGAGUUCGUGACCCGAAUCACAGAUUGAGACCUCCCUUAGAUAUCAAAGCGAUUCCAAAGCUUUAAAUUUAAGAAGGAAAUCCCAAUCGACAUUCGACUCCAAAAUGCACUUGCAGGUUCAUCCGGAGCUGGAUAAAAGCGUGGGGACUUCGAGAUAUCUCAGGGGCGCUUUUGAGAGAGGCCUGUUUCAUAGAUGUAUGUUUCACUUGUGGGGUUUUUAUUGAUAUGUCUGACGGAGCUUACUUUAAUAGUAUGCUUAAGAUGCCCGUCGAUCUGCGAAAUACCGCUGAAUAUUCUUUGUACUGUUGUUGCUUUUUGGGUCGGUCUCCUUUUGAUCUGAUUUUGAUGGAGCUUAAUCAAAUUUCCAAGGCUUUUCCUACUACAAAUUGAUGGGAAGCUCAGUGGAAGUGGGUUCUUCCGAAAGUGGGGUUACGUUGAAGAGGGACCACCCUCUUCUUUGCUCUUCAUAGCCAACUGGUAGAGCUGAGAGACACACCCAUUUUACAGAGACACAGAUGGAGGUUUACCCAGAUUUUUUUUUUUUCCCCAGAAGCUAGAUUAUCUCCCAUGGGUUUGCACUGUGGCGGUAAUCCUUUUCAUUGUGGUACUUUUCCAGAUACUUUUACCUGGUUCAGUCAUAGAAAAAGUCAGGGAAUACAUUAAGAGAUGGGGAAUUUAAUUUUAGUUCAGGUGAAUUGUUGUUUCUUAAGGAGUUUUGUCAGUAGGAUUUUGGCGCUGAUAUUAGAUUUAAGCCUCAUAAGCUUUUGGAGAAAUUCCAGAAAGAAGCUGGAGAGGCGAAAUUUUCCAAUGCAACACUGCAACAUAUUAGGAAUUGGAGUCCCCAGAUUGCAGUGGAAAAAUUAAGGAAACCGCAGAGCACUUCAAAUUGACUGAGAUGAAUAAUAAUUCAGUAGACACUCUUCAUAGUGCAAGACGGCAAGAUCCACACGAGCUAGCUGUUUUUAAUUUUGAUAGUAUAUUAGUUGCUACAAAUGACUUCAACAUAACAAAUAAACUUGGGCAAGGAGGUUUUGGUUCCGUUUACAAGGGAGUACUACAUGAUGGAAAGGAACUGGAAGUAGCCAUUAAAAGGCUAUCUAGUAACUCAGAGGGCAUACAAGAGUUCAAGAAUGAGUUGACUUUGAUCUCCAAAUUCCAGCACAGAAAUCUUGUUAGGCUUAUGGGUUGCUGCAUACACAGAGAAGAGAAGUUACUAAUUUAUGAGUUCAUGCCGAACAAAAGCUUGGAUUUCUUUCUCUUUGGUUGGUUCCACAUAAGGCACAUAUAGUCUCACUUUUAGAGGAAUGGUCAUUUAUUGUUUGCUCAAAACAAUUUGUAGAUACGCCUAUCAUAGCCCAGUAGGAAAGUUCUGCUAAUUAGUACUACUCUUAUCUUCUUCCCCUAAAAGCUAUUAGCAUAAAACAGCUCUAUUGACUGAAUUCUAUUGGUUGUUGCAUUGAUUAAUUAGACCGAAGAAGAAGAUCAGAACUAAAUUGGGCUAGACGCUUCAACAUUAUUCAUGGUGUUGCUAAAGGCCUUGUAUAUCUCCAUCGGUCGGCCGGUGGGUUUCUCUGAUUUUAGGAUGAUUUCUACUGGAUAUGUAGUACCUUUCUGGCUUUCAGAUCUAUUUUCGAUGAAGAUUUUAUGUAGUACCUUUUUGGCUUUCAGAUCUAUUUUCGAUGAAGAUUUUAUGAACAAAAUUUUAUGAGUAAAGUUUGAAUUUCUAUUUGUGCUCCGGCCCUGAUGGUCGGCCGUUGGGUUUCUCUGAUU